GCAGUCGUGGCCGAGUGGUUAAGGCAAUGGACUAGAAAUCCAUUGGGGUCUCCCCGCACACGUUCAAAUCCUGUCGACUGCG
rnacentral:tRNA from 1 species